UAGCAGUGCGGCAGCUACACAUGCAAGUCGAGCGGAUGAAGGGAGCUUGCUCCCGGAUUUAGCGGCGGACGGGUGAGUAAUGCCUAGGAAUCUGCCUGGUAGUGGGGGACAACGACUCGAAAGGGUCGCUAAUACCGCAUACGCCCUACGGGAGAAAGUGGGGGAUCUUCGGACCUCACGCUAUCAGAUGAGCCUAGGUCGGAUUAGCUAGUAGGUGAGGUAAUGGCUCACCUAGGCAACGAUCCGUAACUGGUCUGAGAGGAUGAUCAGUCACACUGGAACUGAGACACGGUCCAGACUCCUACGGGAGGCAGCAGUGGGGAAUAUUGGACAAUGGGCGAAAGCCUGAUCCAGCCAUGCCGCGUGUGUGAAGAAGGUCUUCGGAUUGUAAAGCACUUUAAGUUGGGAGGAAGGGUUGUAGUUUAAUACGCUGCAAUCUUGACGUUACCAACAGAAUAAGCACCGGCUAACUCUGUGCCAGCAGCCGCGGUAAUACAGAGGGUGCAAGCGUUAAUCGGAAUUACUGGGCGUAAAGCGCGCGUAGGCGGCUUGAUAAGAUGGGUGUGAAAUCCCCGGGCUUAACCUGGGAACUGCAUCCAUAACUGUCUGGCUAGAGUACAGUAGAGGGUGGUGGAAUUUCCUGUGUAGCGGUGAAAUGCGUAGAUAUAGGAAGGAACACCAGUGGCGAAGGCGACCACCUGGACUGAUACUGACGCUGAGGUGCGAAAGCGUGGGGAGCAAACAGGAUUAGAUACCCUGGUAGUCCACGCCGUAAACGAUGUCUACUAGCCGUUGGAAUCCUUGAGAUUUUAGUGGCGCAGCUAACGCACUAAGUAGACCGCCUGGGGAGUACGGUCGCAAGAUUAAAACUCAAAUGAAUUGACGGGGGCCCGCACAAGCGGUGGAGCAUGUGGUUUAUUCGAGCACGCGAGACCUUACCUGGCCUUGACAUGCAGAGAACUUUCCAG
rnacentral:rRNA from 1 species